AAGAGGUUUGUGAUGGGCAGGUUGAGUGACCGCUGGUUCAUGAAUAGCUCCUCCUUGACCAGUUUUUAAACACGUUCUUCUUUAGAAGCUGUCCACAAACAGACAGUGAAGCCAAAACACAAAUACAAUCAGCCACCAUGAGGGCUCUGCUGCUUCUUGGUAUCUUGUGUGCUGCUCUGGUGCUGCCAGCACUUGCAGAUAAUGUGAAGUCCUUUGACUAUUACCACCCUUUAACUCAUACCGAUGAAGAAGUGAGAAAAUCCAUUUUUGAGGGCAUGACCCCUGAAGAGAAAGAAGAGUGGAUGAAAAAUUACCAGCAACAUCAAAGUCAGGCAGAUAAGCCAUGCUGAAGGCCUGGGUUGACAUAUGCACCAGUGAAGCAGUCGGCCUGACAGAGAAAUCAAAUGUUCAACGACACCAAAUACUGUCAUGUGUAACCUUUCACAUGAUUGAGAUAUGAAAAUAAACAAAGAAUUGAUUGUCAUAUUGAUUAUAGACACAAAUGAACU